rnacentral:rRNA from 1 species
UACGUAGGGUGCGAGCGUUAAUCGGAAUUACUGGGCGUAAAGCGUGCGCAGGCGGCUUCGCAAGUCAGGCGUGAAAUCCCCGGGCUUAACCUGGGAAUGGCGUCUGAAACUACGGAGCUGGAGUGUGGCAGAGGGAGGUAGAAUUCCACGUGUAGCGGUGAAAUGCGUAGAUAUCUGGAGGAACACCGGUGGCGAAGGCGGCGUUCUGGACUGCAACUGACACUGAGGAACGAAAGCCAGGGGAGCAAACGGG